UUGGCCUCAAUUCAGGCAG
rnacentral:rRNA from 2 species